UACAGAGGUCUCAAGCGUUGUUCGGUUUCAUUGGGCGUAAAGGGUGCGUAGGCGGCGCGGUAAGUCGGAUGUGAAAUCUCGGAGCUUAACUUCGAAACUGCAUUCGAUACUGCCGUGCUUGAGGACUGGAGAGGAGACUGGAAUUUACGGUGUAGCGGUGAAAUGCGUAGAUAUCGGGAAGAACACCCGUGGCGAAGGCGACUACCUGGCCUGUUCUUGACGCUGAGGCGCGAAAGCUAGGGGAGCAAACGGG
rnacentral:rRNA from 1 species